UGGGGAAUAUUGGACAAUGGGGGAAACCCUGAUCCAGCAAUGCCGCGUGGGUGAUGAAGGUCUUCGGAUUGUAAAGCCCUUUUGGCAGGGACGAUGAUGACGGUACCUGCAGAAUAAGCUCCGGCUAACUUCGUGCCAGCAGCCGCGGUAAUACGAAGGGAGCAAGCGUUGUUCGGAUUUACUGGGCGUAAAGGGCGCGUAGGCGGUUAAUUAAGUUAGGAGUGAAAGCCCUGGGCUUAACCCAGGAAUCGCUCUUAAGACUGGUUGACUCGAGUGUGGAAGAGGUUGGUGGAAUUCCCAGUGUAGAGGUGAAAUUCGUAGAUAUUGGGAAGAACAUCCGUGGCGAAGGCGGCCAACUGGUCCACAACUGACGCUGAGGCGCGAAAGCGUGGGGAGCAAA
rnacentral:rRNA from 1 species